CGAAACUCAGGCAGCAAAUCCUCACCUGGAAGCAAUGAUGCUAACUUAAACAAUGCUUUUAAAUGAACCUUGGAUCUGGUCAGCAACAUUGAUUUGGUUUUGACUGAUCAAAAAAACCUUUGACUGACUCAAAAAACCUUCCAUCUUCUCGGUAUUUUCCACUUUCACUGUCUACACUGUCCUGCCCUGCAUAAAUCUUAUUUAAAAGCUAAUUUCAACACAGCAUGUGCACUUAGUGUACACUGAUCAGUGAUGAGUCAUGUUCAGCUUGAUAAGGAAAUGAAUGAAAGCCCUUACAAUUUAAAAAGACUCAGUGUUCCCAUGGCUAGACCACACAGGAAAGCUGUGUUGGAAAGCUCUAAUUUCCAAUUUCCAAGUCCCUCUAUUGUUUCUGUCAGGUGGACCUGUUUUCCUUGCAAAACGUCAAGCAAUUUUCCUAUAUUUCAGCAAUAUGCUCUGCAGACACUGGAGUUUUUCAGUUCCCUAUUCAGGUCAAAGAGAUUUCAUAAGGUCUGUAGCUAGUGUACACAAGUCUGAAAAGGAAUAAUCAGUUAUCUCAGCAUCUCAGGAAUAGGCAAGGCUCUGUCAAGACUCUUCCUCUGUGUUACAAGUACCCAUGUGCUCUUGUAAGACCUUGUGCCAGAGUACGCUGUAACUUGCAAGAAGACAUUAAACUGGAAAAUAAAAUGUCGUCCCACUUCCAGUGCUGAAGAAGCAGCUUUCAGAUUCCAAGCUGCAGAUGGUGGUCCUGUGCAACUGGUGACAACGAAUACCAGCAGACUUCUGAAUCAGAUGUGCCAUCCUGCCACUCCUGGGGCUCCACAGAAACUGGGCUGAAUGCAAAAACUCCCACAGAACUCGGUCUUUCAGGCUGGCCAUAUGAGAUCCUGUGGGCAUCCACCAUGACUGCAGUCAAGAACACUACGCAAGUCAAGAACAAAGAGCUGGAAAUAGCAGCCCUCCGUAUCCGCAGCACGGAGGAAGGGGCGCUGUGCCCGGGCACAGCGCAGCCGUGGCACCCGUGGGUUCGGUCCCUCGCUGCUUGCGCUGCCAGCAGAGCCUCGGAUCCCCCUCAGCCUGUCUGGGCUCGGUGCGUAUUGGAAUUUCAUCUCCCCAGUCUGCUCCUGCAGACUUUUUUUUUUUUUAAUUCAUGUGGAAAAAAAAUAAUAAUGAGAGGGUAAAAUAAGCGGAGCGAGAGCGAGCAUCAAUAGCCCCAGCCCGUAGGCUCAGCGCCUUCCUGCAGAGCUCCCGCAGCAGGGCCCCGCUCAGCCCCGGCGCUGCCGCAGGGCCCCGGGCAGGGGCAGCACCCAGGGGUGCUGGGCGGGGGCUGAGCCCCGCUCCCUGCCCCGAGCCUUAGGGCCACGGCCGGGGGCGCUGGCACAGCCCCG
rnacentral:lncRNA from 1 species